UGUAGAUUCUGGAUAUUGGGCCUUUGUCAGAUGCAUAGAUUGCAAAAAUUUUCUCCCACUCUGCCAAAAGAGGAGUACAUCUGAACAGCAAUAGAGCAGAGGAAGAAACCCUAAGUCAUGUUGUAGCCUAAUACCAUGGAGUAGCACAGACUUUGAAACCAGGCAGAACCAGAACUUGAACAGAUCUCUUCAGAACCGGGAAAACAUCUCCUUUUGUUGACAUCACAUGAAGGUUGAAGUCCGCUGUCAGGACCAUGUUUAAGGAUCUCAAUUGCCAUGUGGAUAAGGUACGUGUCAAUGUUUUCAGGAACUAACAUUCUGAUUAGGC
rnacentral:lncRNA from 10 species